UACGUAGGGAGCAAGCGUUGUCCGGAAUCAUUGGGCGUAAAGAGCGCGUAGGCGGCCCUGUAAGUCCGUUCUGAAAGUCGGAGGCUCAACCUCCGAAGCGGAUAGAUGACUGCAGGGCUAGAGUCCGGAAGAGGCGAGUGGAAUUCCCGGUGUAGCGGUGAAUGCGCAGAUAUCGGGAGGAACACCAAUGGCGAAGGCAGCUUGCUGGGACGGUACUGACGCUGAGACGCGAAAGCGUGGGAGCAACAGGAUAGAUAC
rnacentral:rRNA from 1 species